UAUUUGCAAGGAUCAUUGAAAAAGAGGAAGAACAAUGAUUAGUAAAUUGAAGAUUGUUAUUUCAACCUUGAUUUUAGUUCUUCUAUUCUCAAUAGGUAUGUAGACAAUUUGCAUAAUAUAUUUUAAAUCAUUCAUAUGUUAUGUUGCUUAUACAUAUUGAUUAUCGAUUACACUAAUAUUAUUCUUUUCAACAGGUACGAACGGUAUAGUACUCGAACGCAAGAAGUGUCUUUCCCAAUGUGACCUAACAAAUAAUAAUUGCAUGUCCUUAUGCACUGGCAUGAGAUAUUAUAGAGGAUAUUGUGAUGGGCCCCCGACUUUUACUAUUCCAAGGUGUUGUUGUUACAAUGAUUGAAAAAUUAUAACUUAGAAUUCUUCUUUUAGUUUGAAUAAAGUAUUAUAUUUUAUAAAAUAUAGAACAUAGAAUAUUAUCAUAAAGUAUGAUUGACAAAUUUGGGGAUACUUAAUGAAAUAAAAU
rnacentral:lncRNA from 1 species